rnacentral:tRNA from 1 species
GUCUGGGUAGCUUAGUGGUUAAAGCAUUCCCCCUUCUAUCCCUUACUACUGGGUUAACCAUCCUAUAGUUCGGUAUAAAAUAAAAUGGGGCACCACCCAAGUUCAACUCUUGGUCCAGACG